ensembl:lncRNA
CAUCUGCCCAUUCAGCCACUUGGUUUGACUCACAGGCUUGGACUUGACUUUCAUUCCUACCGCUGCAGCCACUGAUGAUAAUUUGCAGCAUGUGGAAUCUAGUUACCUAAACAGGAUGGAACCCAGGCCUCCUGCACUGGGAGUUUGGAGUCUUAGCCACUGGAGGACCAGCGGGGAAGUCCCAGACUACUUCUUCAAAAUGCUCAGUCGUGUCCGACUCUUUGUGACCCCAUGGACUGCAGCACACCAGGAUUCCCUGUCCUUCACCAUCUCCCGGAAUUUGCUCAGACUCAUGUCCAUUGAGUCAGUGAUGCCAUCCAACCAUCUCGCCCUCUGUUGUCUGCUUCCCCUCCUGUCAUACAGCAUGUUAAACUUGAUUGCACACCACACUGCAACAUCAAUAAGAGAAGUAAUAUUAAGCAAACCCAGAGAUACUAAGUCCGAAAAAAACAUUUGAUUUGUUCAUUUGAAAACAAAGUAGAACUAUUGCUCAAAAAAGGGCUGAGUCUAUUUAUUGAUACUUUAGGAGUUCUCAAUCCUGAGGAAUUAAUAUUCUGAGUGAUAGAAAAUAGAGUUUAGCCUUUCAGGGAAAAAAAGUAGUUCUUCGAAGUAACUCAUCCUCCUGAAAUGUUGCUUAGCCUCUGAUUCCAAGCCAGCCCCUAUACUGCUCCUGUCUGAUUCUAACUUGCAGCCUUUCAAAAGGCCCCUUUCCUUG